AAGUCGUAACAAGGUUACCGUUGGUGAACCAGCGGUAGGAUCAUUACCAUUAAAAAUUUAUACCUAUUACAAAUUUCAACAACCCCUUUUGUAAAGUUGCGCGUUUUUGUCUGAAUAAGACAAAGCGUUGCGCUUUAUUUGUGAACCUCUGACACCGUCGUGUGUGGAAAAAUUAAUUUUCUGCAUUCUGAUGGACUCUAUGUUGCCCGUAAAAACGCACAUUACAAAACAAUUUUUUUUGUUUGUUUUGUGUAUGCGGGCAACAUGGACUUUUUGUUUCAACCACAUUAUUUAAAAACAACAAAAAUUUUGUCUGAAUCAAACCUAUUUUUUUUUGUCUUUGUCUAGUACAUCUAAACAAAAAUUAAAAAAAAAUAACACUAACAAAUUUAAAACAAAAACAACUUUUAACGGUGGAUCUCUAGGCUCGU
rnacentral:misc_RNA from 1 species